rnacentral:tRNA from 1 species
CUAAAAAUAAGCUAAAUAAAAUAAAUUAAGCUAUUGGGCUCAUAACUCAAAAAUGAUUUGAUCUUUUUAGA